rnacentral:rRNA from 1 species
CGUCUUAAGCAUGCAAGUCAGACGGAAUGUAGCAAUACAUUCAGUGGCGAACGGGUGAGUAACGCGUGGAUAAUCUACCUACGAGAUGGGGAUAACUAUUAGAAAUAGUAGCUAAUACCGAAUAAGGUCAAUUGAGGUGUUAAUUGAUGAAAGGAAGCCUUUAAAGCUUCGCUUGUAGAUGAGUCUGCGUCUUAUUAGCUAGUUGGUGGGAUAAGAGCCUACCAAGGCUAUGAUAAGUAACCGGCCUGAGAGGGUGAUCGGUCACACUGGAACUGAGAUACGGUCCAGACUCCUACGGGAGGCAGCAGCUAAGAAUCUUCCGCAAUGGGCGAAAGCCUGACGGAGCGACACUGCGUGAACGAAGAAGGUCGAAAGAUUGUAAAGUUCUUUUAUAAGUGAGGAAUAAGCUUUGUAGGAAAUGACAAAGUGAUGACGUUAAUUUAUGAAUAAGCCCCGGCUAAUUACGUGCCAGCAGCCGCGGUAAUACGUAAGGGGCGAGCGUUGUUCGGGAUCAUUGGGCGUAAAGGGUGAGUAGGCGGAUAUGCAAGUCUAUGUGUAAAAUACCACAGCUCAACUGUGGAACUAUGCUGGAAACUGCAUGACUAGAGUCUGAUAGGGGAAGUUAGAAUUCCUGGUGUAAGGGUGGAAUCUGUUGAUAUCAGGAAGAAUACCAGAGGCGAAGGCGAACUUCUAGGUCAAGACUGACGCUGAGUCAC